CAAUAGCGUAUAUUUAAGUUGUUGCAGUUAAAAAGCUCGUAGUUGGAUUUCGGAUGGGAUUUGCCGGUCCGUCGUUACGAUGUGCACUGGCCAGUCCUAUCUUGUUGUCGGGGACUAGCUCCUUGGAUUCACUUCCUGGGACUAGGAGCUGACGAGGUUACUUUGAGUAAAUUAGAGUGUUCAAAGCAAGCCUACGCUCUGAAUACAUUAGCAUGGAAUAACACGAUAGGACGCUGGCUUAUCUUGUUGGUCUGUGAGACCAGAGUAAUGAUUAAGAGGGACAGUCGGGGACAUUCGUAUUUCAUUGUCAGAGGUGAAAUUCUUGGAUUUAUGAAAGACGAACUUCUGCGAAAGCAUUUGUCAAGGAUGUUUUCAUUAA
rnacentral:rRNA from 1 species